GGCCAACUGCCAUCGCAGCUCGUUGAAACUCGCGGCAAGACUAAAUUCGUUUAAUUCUGUCCGGGCGUUUUUAAUACGAUCGUGAAAUACACCUGCCAUGCCUGAAUAGGCAGUUGAGAUGAUAUGUAUACUGUUUUAUCAGCUGGUUGUUAACAAAAAGACGUUCUCUGCAUGCGCUCUAUGCGAUAUUAGCGAGAUAAUUUCCAGUGUGCCAUAUACCUCUCCACAGAUUGCAGGCGAUAGCGAUGACGUUUGAGGAAUCUGAUUGCGAUAGUGAGGCCGGAUGAUAUGGGGUUCCAUACCCGCCCCUUGAUAGAGGUCUGGGUAACUUGACUGGUGGUCGAAGGAAGUGGCGAUAGCAAUAAUGUCACAAUCGCUGGAUGUCAUAAACAGCCAAGUGCAAAGUUGAAAAAGGUUUCUAAUCGUAAUCGUAUGGAAUCCUACAAUAAAAAGAAACAUCUUAUCGUCGA